rnacentral:rRNA from 1 species
GUUCCCCGUAAGUGGCCCGCGCAAAGACUUGACGACUCUGAAUAAUUUCUAGCUGAUCGCACGGUCGAAACGUGUUUUUUGUAUUCAUCGCAAAUGAAAACCAGCACCGGCGACGUAUCUUUCAAAUGUCUGCCUUAUCAACUGUCGACGGUAGGUUCGACGCCUACCGUGGUGGUAACGGGUAACGGGGAAUCAGGGUUCGAUUCCGGAGAGGGAGCCUGAGAAACGGCUACCACAUCCAAGGAAGGCAGCAGGCGCGCAAAUUACCCACUCCCAGCUCGGGGAGGUAGUGACGAAAAAUAACGAUACGGGACUCAUCCGAGGCCCCGUAAUCGGAAUGAGUACACUUUAAAACCUUGGUCGCACGAGGAUCAAU